CAGCAGCCACGGGAAUACGUAGGGUGCGAGCGUUAAUCGGAAUUACUGGGCGUAAAGCGUGCGCAGGCGGUUUUGUAAGACAGAGGUGAAAUCCCCGGGCUCAACCUGGGAACUGCCUUUGUGACUGCAAGGCUAGAGUACGGCAGAGGGGGAUGGAAUUCCGCGUGUAGCAGUGAAAUGCGUAGAUAUGCGGAGGAACACCGAUGGCGAAGGCAAUCCCCUGGGCCUGUACUGACGCUCAUGCACGAAAGCGUGGGGAGCAAACAGGAUUAGAUACCCCAGUAGUCCCUGUCUCUUAUAC
rnacentral:rRNA from 1 species